CAGGCCUUCGGGCGCUGACGAGUGGCGGACGGGUGAGUAACGCGUAGGAAUCUGCCUCGUAGUGGGGGACAACGUGGGGAAACUCACGCUAAUACCGCAUACGCCCUAAGGGGGAAAGGAGGGGAUCUUCGGACCUUUCGCUAUGAGAUGAGCCUGCGUUAGAUUAGCUAGUUGGUAGGGUAAAGGCCUACCAAGGCGACGAUCUAUAGCUGGUCUGAGAGGACGAUCAGCCACACUGGGACUGAGACACGGCCCAGACUCCUACGGGAGGCAGCAGUGGGGAAUAUUGGACAAUGGGCGAAAGCCUGAUCCAGCAAUACCGCGUGUGUGAAGAAGGCCUUAGGGUUGUAAAGCACUUUCAAUUGGGAGGAAAACCUACCGGUCAAUACCCGGUAGCUUGACAUUACCUUUAGAAGAAGCACCGGCUAACUCUGUG
rnacentral:rRNA from 1 species